UACGGGGGGGGGCAAGCGUUGUUCGGAAUUACUGGGCGUAAAGGGCUCGUAGGCGGCCAACUAAGUCAUACGUGAAAUCCCUCGGCUUAACCGGGGAACUGCGUCUGAUACUGGAUGGCUUGAGUUCGGGAGAGGGAUGCGGAAUUCCAGGUGUAGCGGUGAAAUGCGUAGAUAUCAGGAAGAACACCGGUGGCGAAGGCGGCCUGCUGGGCAGUUGCUGACACUGAGGCGCGACAGCGUGGGGAGCAAACAGG
rnacentral:rRNA from 1 species